rnacentral:lncRNA from 1 species
AAGAAGUCUUGAACCAAAAACGCUUAUGCACAAGUCGGAGCAGCUACGUGUUUCACCACCAAUAGUCGCUUUUGCGUUCACGUAUUCACAACAACGUCGCAUUUUGCAGCCGAGCUUCACGUUCAUCGACAACUUCGUCUUAUUCAAAUCACAACGUACAAAAUGAAGAAACACGGCUCCACCUCAAUGAUUCACGACUCAAAAUCCUCAACAAUACUCGAUUCGAUUUACUUGUGCACGCGCGAAAACAAGGAAAAACAGAAUUGAAAUCAAGAAACUCACCGAAUUUGAAGCUUCGAUUACAAACAGGUAUGAAUUCCCUUUCUCUGCUCGAUUUUCGAUUGCUUCCUCUUCUUCACCGGUUCGAUUUCCGAUUGCUUGUUGCGAUAUUUUCCUGUGUUGCAUUGAGUGUGUAUGAGAUGUAUGCAAAUUGUUGCGUGAGAAUGAGUGAGAGAGAAAGAGAGAACUCUGAGUCUUGGCGAGUUGAAUCGAGAUUGUGAAAAAUGAAUCUCUGAGUCAAUGAAUCCUGAGAUCAAUCCCUAUUGAGGUGAAGGAUGAAUGAUACUUAUAGCUAAUGGAUUUAAUAGAGAUCAAACUCUGUUAAAUCGUGAUAGCUUGAAACGGUUGGAAAUUAGCUUUGUUAAUUGGCUCUGUUAGAAGUUAGUUGGAAAACUGAUUUGUUAGUUUCACUAAACUUUCUGUUAAAAUGGAUUUACUUCCAGCUGUUAUGAAUGAGUAUUAGUUAGUGUAGAGUGCAAGCUAUAUUGGAACUGUUAGUAAUUGGAACGCUGCUAUGAAUGUCGGCACCGUUAUUUUGUGGGCGAAUGCUAGUAAUCGGUUAGAAAAAUUUCUUGUUAGUUGAUGCUAUGUCAGUAUAUGAAGUUAGGUUAUUAUUAAUGGCUCUUAUAUGUAAAUGUUGAUGAGGGAAUGAUGCUUAACAAAAUGGAAGUAUGCAAGUGUAAUCGAUUAAGAGUCAAUUCAAUAUAUGUAAUGAAAUAAUGAGCCAAGUUAUUUAGUUUAGAAACGGAAGUCAGUGACAUUUUAUGGGAUGUAUAAAACAUGUUGGUAUGAUGCUUGAAAUGAGUCUUGUAUGAUGCUUGAAAUGAGUCUUGUAUGAAUUCUAUUAGGCUGGUUUUAUGCAGGUCUUGGUAGUUCAAACAUGUGGUGCAUAGGGUGUGCAAAAAAAUUAAUUAUUCAUGAUCAAAUUGGUAUUCAAAUUAUUCCACUUUUAAAAAACCAAAGCAAAUGUUAAAAUAAAA